rnacentral:rRNA from 1 species
AGUUUGAUCCUGGCUCAGAUUGAACGCUGGCGGCAGGCCUAACACAUGCAAGUCGAGCGGAUGAGAAGAGCUUGCUCUUCGAUUCAGCGGCGGACGGGUGAGUAAUGCCUAGGAAUCUGCCUGGUAGUGGGGGACAACGUUUCGAAAGGAACGCUAAUACCGCAUACGUCCUACGGGAGAAAGCAGGGGACCUUCGGGCCUUGCGCUAUCAGAUGAGCCUAGGUCGGAUUAGCUAGUUGGUGAGGUAAUGGCUCACCAAGGCGACGAUCCGUAACUGGUCUGAGAGGAUGAUCAGUCACACUGGAACUGAGACACGGUCCAGACUCCUACGGGAGGCAGCAGUGGGGAAUAUUGGACAAUGGGCGAAAGCCUGAUCCAGCCAUGCCGCGUGUGUGAAGAAGGUCUUCGGAUUGUAAAGCACUUUAAGUUGGGAGGAAGGGCAGUAAGCGAAUACCUUGCUGUUUUGACGUUACCGACAGAAUAAGCACCGGCUAACUCUGUGCCAGCAGCCGCGGUAAUACAGAGGGUGCAAGCGUUAAUCGGAAUUACUGGGCGUAAAGCGCGCGUAGGUGGUUUGUUAAGUUGGAUGUGAAAGCCCCGGGCUCAACCUGGGAACUGCAUCCAAAACUGGCAAGCUAGAGUACGGUAGAGGGUGGUGGAAUUUCCUGUGUAGCGGUGAAAUGCGUAGAUAUAGGAA